rnacentral:rRNA from 1 species
CUUAAGCAUAUCAAUAAGCGGAGGAAAAGAAACCAACAGGGAUUGCCCUAGUAACGGCGAGUGAAGCGGCAACAGCUCAAAUUUGAAAUCUGGCCCCCGGGUCCGAGUUGUAAUUUGUAGAGGAUGCUUUUGGUGCGGUACCUUCCGAGUUCCCUGGAACGGGACGCCAUAGAGGGUGAGAGCCCCGUCUGGUUGGACGCCAAUCCUUUGUAAAGCUCCUUCGACGAGUCGAGUAGUUUGGGAAUGCUGCUCUAAAUGGGAGGUAUAUGUCUUCUAAAGCUAAAUAUUGGCCAGAGACCGAUAGCGCACAAGUAGAGUGAUCGAAAGAUGAAAAGCACUUUGAAAAGAGAGUUAAAAAGUACGUGAAAUUGUUGAAAGGGAAGCGCUCAUGACCAGACUUGGGCCCGGUUGAUCAUCCAGGGUUCUCCCUGGUGCACUCUUCCGGCCCAGGCCAGCAUCAGUUCGCUGUGGGGGAUAAAGGCUUCGGGAAUGUGGCUCCUCCGGGAGUGUUAUAGCCCGCUGCGUAAUACCCUGUGGCGGACUGAGGUUCGCGCAUCUGCAAGGAUGCUGGCGUAAUGGUCAUCAGCGACCCGUCUUGAAACACGGACCAAGGAGUCGUCUUCGUAUGCGAGUGUUCGGGUGUUAAACCCCUACGCGGAAUGAAAGUGAACGCAGGUGAGAGCUUCGGCGCAUCAUCGACCGAUCCUGAUGUUCUCGGAUGGAUUUGAGUAAGAGCAUACGGGGCCGGACCCGAAAGAAGGUGAACUAUGCCUGUAUAGGGUGAAGCCAGAGGAAACUCUGGUGGAGGCUCGCAGCGGUUCUGACGUGCAAAUCGAUCGUCAAAUAUGG